GACGAACGCUGGCGGCGUGCUUAACACAUGCAAGUCGAACGGAAAGGCCCCUUUUGGGGUACUCGAGUGGCGAACGGGUGAGUAACACGUGUGUAACCUUCCCUUGACUUCGGGAUAACUUCAGGAAACUGGGGCUAAUUCCGGAUAGGAAUCCUUGCUGCAUGGUGGGGGUUGGAAAGCUUCGGCGGUUUUGGAUGGACUCGCGGCGUAUCAGCUUGUUGGUGGGGUAGUGGCUUACCAAGGCGUUGACGGGUAGCUGGCCUGAGAGGGCGACCGGCCACAUUGGGACUGAGAGACGGCCCAGACGCCUACGGGAGGAAGCAGUGGGGAAGAUUGAACAAUGGGCGGAAGCCUGAUGCAGCAACGCCGCGUGCGGGAUGACGGCCUUCGGGUUGUAAAACGCUUUCAGCAGGGGCGAAGCUUGUGGUGACGGUACCUGCAGAAGAAGCACCGGCUAACUACGUG
rnacentral:rRNA from 1 species